rnacentral:lncRNA from 1 species
CGCCCUUUUUUCAAAGAAAUUCCCUGUAAAAAUUUAUAAUAAAACAUCUGAAAUAUGUGCCGUCAUCUUUUCUGCUACUGAAAUCUUAUCAUCUAAUGAAAAUUUUAAAUAUCUUUAUAAGCAUCGCUUUUCCAAUCUCCGUACAAUUGAAUUAAUUCAGUAGGUACUUCGGCUGCAAAAGCCCAGCUAGCCCCCCCUCGCCUAAAACUAUGUGUAGAAUAUGAACAAGCAUCUAAACCAAUCUCAGUAAUUAACUGUCUCAAUAUUGUCUGAAAUUGUCUAUACGUGACAGG